rnacentral:rRNA from 1 species
UACGUAGGUGGCAAGCGUUGUCCGGAAUUAUUGGGCGUAAAGGGCGCGCAGGCGGCCGGUCAAGUCUGUCUUAAAAGUGCGGGGCUCAACCCCGUGAUGGGACGGAAACUGGCAGGCUGGAGUGUCGGAGAGGAAAGCAGAAUUCCUAGUGUAGCGGUGAAAUGCGUAGAUAUUAGGAGGAAUACCAGUGGCGAAAGCGGCUUUCUGGACGACAACUGACGCUGAGGCGCGAAAGCCAGGGGAGCAAACGGG